rnacentral:rRNA from 1 species
AACGAACGCUGGCGGCAUGCCUAACACAUGCAAGUCGAACGAGACCUUCGGGUCUAGUGGCGCACGGGUGCGUAACGCGUGGGAACCUGCCCUUAGGUUCGGAAUAACUCCCCGAAAGGGGUGCUAAUACCGGAUAAUGUCUUCGGACCAAAGAUUUAUCGCCUUUGGAUGGGCCCGCGUUGGAUUAGCUAGUUGGUAGGGUAAAAGCCUACCAAGGCGACGAUCCAUAGCUGGUCUGAGAGGAUGAUCAGCCACAUGGGGACUGAGACAAGGCCCAGACUGGUACGGGAGGGAGCAGUGGGGAAGGUUGCAGAAUGGGCGGAAGCCUGAUGUAGCAACGCCGCGUGCGGGAUGACGGCCUUCGGGUUGUAAACCGCUUUCGCCUGGGACGAAGCGUGAGUGACGGUAAGGGGUAAAGAAGCACCGGCUAACUACGGG